rnacentral:lncRNA from 1 species
CGCCUCGAAAAUAAAUGACGAGACACCACUCGAUGAUGAUGGUCAUGGGACUCAUACAGCUAGUACCGCUGCGGGUGUAUUUGUCAGUGGGGCUAGCGUUCUUGGCAAUGCUUAUGGCACUGCAGUUGGAAUGGCACCUCAAGCUCACCUGGCAAUAUACAAGGUGAGCAUAUUUGGCUCGUAGUACAAAAUAGGACUCGACAAUAUGAUAAAUAAGAUUUAACGUCUUUAAUGUCGUAACGUACCAGGUGUGUUUUGGCCCCGACUGCCCUGAAAGUGAUAUAUUAGCUGGACUUGAUGCAGCCAUAGAAGAUGGCGUUGAUGUACUCUCUAUCUCCAUCGGUCAGGAGUCACUGCCAUUUUUCCAAGAUAACACGGCAGUAGCAUCAUUUGC